AGCUAACUCGCUUUACAUAAAUAUUCCAAAAUGGCCGCGCCCAUCGCGACAGCGAGAGAAGGUGGGGACGAUUCACGACUUUACCCCCCGACUGUAGAUGACAGUGACAUAGAUGCACAAAUAACCCCGGGACCUGAUGUAGUGACAAUGGGGACAGUGGCUCGACGAAUACAACUUGAAAUAUUGGUGAUACUGGCAGCAACAGCGUAUGUCUUGUUUGAAGCCUGGAGCACCUUCAGUGUACGAUUAUCAGCAUGUGUUACAGUGUGCCUCUGUUGUCAAUUUUUGACACUGACACUGAAAACCUACGUGGACAACCAGCAACCUCACAUCAGGCAGCUGUUCAGAUCAAAAGCAGACCUUGGCUACCUGUGUUCUAUCCUGGUCCCACUGACUGUUGUAGCUGAUCUGGUCUAUAUAGCUCAACACAAUGUCUUCAUCGACAUGUUGGAAUGGUUGGAUGAGUAUCGCAAGACACUGGACGACAUCGUGGACAUCUGGGGGCUGGAUCAUCAGCACAAGGCUCAAGUCUUUGACCACUACAUGCACUCCAUGUUGGGCUGUGCCUUCCUGGUGUCCUACCUGGCAACCCUGGGGGUUAUCAGCAACAGAGAUCGCAGUAAACGUCCCCUGUUACCUGCUCGUUAUGGACCACAUCAGUGCUUCUCACAGCAUCGGGUAUUUCAGCUGGCGUUAUAUUGUCCAUGACAGGUACCAUGGCAACAAUGAUGAUGGUGCUGGUGCUGUCCCUCCUUGUGAUUUUUGUUGUCAUCUUCCUUCCAAACCACCUCCCUAGGACCUUCACCUUGGGAGAGUUGUCCUGCAGCAUCCAGCUCAUGGCUGCACUGCUGUGGAAGGCAGUGUAUGUCUACACAACUAGGGACAUCACCAACUUUAAAAUAUACAGCAUAGAUUCAUUGCAAACAAUUAUAUACAUCGCCAUACUUGUGAUCAUCGUCCUGUACGUCCUCCUUCCUGCACAUCUCCGUGGACAACGUCCGUGGGUGUUCUAUGUGGUGUUCAUAUGUGUGUCAGUAGCGUUGGUUAUCCCCACAUCAUACAUGGUUCUCGGACGGAUGUUGUCACGUGGAUGUUCACCAGCAUAUUCUUACAUCCCAAAAGGGUGAGUCUACUGCUGUACUGGAUGGUGUGUUCCGUUGUGGCGGCCGUGUUCAGCUUGUGGCAGGGGUCAGCCACAGAAGGAGACCGCAGCAACACCAUCACCCGCAAGUCAUUCCAUCUGGUCAUAGUAGUCGUG
rnacentral:misc_RNA from 1 species